AGUCACUUGAAUUGGACCUGCAGCCAGGAUGAUUCAUCGUGAACCCCGUCACCUCAUCUAUACAUGUUGAUUGGUGAGACAAGUGGAAGUUUGGAGAAGGAAAGAGUGAACCUCUUGUAUGAAGUGAUGAAGAGGGAGAAUUGUGUUGUGGUUGCAGAGAAAAUGGCCAAAACCUUCUCUCUUCGCAGGAAGGAAAUAAUUUAUCAGGCCCCUGCAAUUGAAGACAUCAUUGACCGCUGGCCUGCUUUAUUUGAUGCAACACAGCAGAUAAAUGAAGAAUUCACAAGAAUAACCACUGUGAGUCUCGAAUCGACAUUUAUGGCCAAACUCCAAAUUAUUGGAUGUAGUCUCAUCGAGGGGAGGAACUUCAGGACUGAGGAGAAGGCACAUCAAGAAUGAACUUCUAGAGAACAAUGCAAUUGAAGUACGGUGAGAGGUGGCCAUUUGUUGCCUGGUUGUCUACCUUGGAGAAAAGGAGCAGGACCUCUUCAAGGAGUUUAAUGAUAUUGAAGAGUUUGAAGCAAACCUUGACAGGCAAGUAUUGAACAUCGCCAUCAUCAAAGACCAGGAUCCGAACACUGGAACCAUCGUGAUCGAGGGAGACGAAAUCCUGGAUGGAAUUGAUGUCCUAAGGUGCUGUGCUUUGUUCGUGGGUUUAUUAAUAUGUGCUCUGAAUCGGAGCUCUCAAGGGUCUCCAAUGUACACACAAAGUAUUUCAGAAACUGUUCCUUGUACUUGAUGGACUAAAAACAAGUGGAAAAAGUAAUGAAUUUCAAGAACAGCAAUUUCUAACAACACUUUUCUUUCAAACCACUGUAGUCUGGCUAUUUGUUAGUCAAAGUUUUUGAAAGAUGUUGAAAAAUGUAAAAAUGCAACGUUAUAUUUCCAAUAAAGUAAAUUUUGCAACACUUCCAUUCUUUGUGGCUGUAUUUUUAAUAAUUUAAUAAAUAAUUAAACUUGAGGAAGCUGAAAAUAAUAGUGUGAAAACACUAAUUGCACCAACUUCAUUUUUUACAUCAUCACAACUUUAAAAUAUUUUACUAAUUAAGUACGUAGAACUUAAAAGAGUCUUUAAAAAUGUAACAUAAAUUAGUUGGGACAACUUAAUUUUUUAUGUGCAGUGAAUUUAAAAAGUUCUGUGUACUCUAUAAUUUUUUACGCUGAUGGCGCUUAAAAGCAAUUUAAGAUCUGAAGGAAAACCCUUUUCCAGUUACUCAAUGUUGUCGGUUGGUUCAACGUAAUUUUAACCAGAAGUUGUAGUAACUUAAAAAGCCUGAUGCCGAGCGUUGCGUUCAUUUUUUUUUUUGUUGGCUCAAAACACUAGUUUUUAGAGUGUAGUUUGAAAAGUCCGUGCGACUGUGCACAGUUGCCGUUUUUAUGGGCGCUGUUUCUAUUGCUGAUUCAAUGCCAGCUCAGUCUUUUGGUGACUCAUCCCUGGUUGAUGUGACUUCUCCUGUGCCAUUGCAGAGCCCUCGCUUCAAAUGCCAUUUCGAACUCCCCGCAACAGCGCACGAAGUCGUCGACACAGCUGGGUGGUCUUCUCUCCCGCUUCAGUCAUGGAGUCGAUGUUGAGGGCACAUCGGCAGGGUUUGGCAGCAGACGGUGCAGCCGGGAUUUUGCGUGUUGCACUGGCAGGUGGCACAACCGGGUUGUUAAGUGCGGUGCUGUUGUUCAGUGCAGGUCCGUAGCAGUAGGCAAGCAGGCGAAUGUCCUGGUGUGGCGAUGCCGAUGUGCCUGUCACUUUGCUGUUUUCGUUUACUGAACUGGCGCUGCAAGUCGCCUUACUGGUCUGGAGGUCAGUUUUGAGGCUCUGCUUUCGCCGCCGCUUCACAACGCCGCUAUGGUCUGUCUGUCUGUCUGUCUGCCUUGUCCUUUGCUUGCGUAUUUUUACUACCGGCCUUGUUUCCCACGGCUCACUUGGGGUCUGGAUCCGCUACACUUCUCUCCAGCUACAUGAGCCUGAGGUUUCGCCGAUGUCCGCGCGCCUGGAAAAAAAGGACCUUAGCAGAUGGAGAAGCAGUGGCGGAGCUGCCCAUGCAGGUGUCCGUCUCUCAGCGGUCUCCAUCCCGUUACAGAUCUGAGCCUCGCGGCUCUCCGGCACCUCCGCCCAAGAGUACAAAAAUAUAA